rnacentral:lncRNA from 1 species
UUAUAUUUAUUUCUUUUGCGUUCAUUUUCAAAUUCGCCGUGCAUAUAUUUUUGUGCAUGGCGCUUGAGAGGGCAUCACGUGACUAAAAACGACCAACCAACGACCUCGCUUCGGCCAUCUUGGCAUCUUCAUCUUGGCCACCUUGCUUUGCCGUGGGUGGAUCGUUGUUUCUAUUAUUUGUGCUUUUUAAGAAUAUUUUUUUAAUUCGGAUACUUUUAUAAUAGCUUUAAUAGUAUUAUUAACAUAGUGAAUAAAAUGGUGUCCUGUUUUUAACGCAGUUGGAGUAGCAGAAACAAAUGUAGAUAAAGAAAUCUGCAGGAAUAACGUUUCAAUUAUGACAGAAGCUCCAAACAAAUGACUGUGAAUGAAAAGCCCUAUUAAAAGCUUUCCAGAAGAUCCUGCGAAGAAGACAUGAAGUAUAGAUCAGAUUUAUUAAUAGAGGAGUAUGUUCAAAACACUUUUUAGAAAAAGAUAUUGACAGAACUUCACUUUCAUCUGUUCGUUUAAGAGACUGUGCUGUUCCAAUAGCUUAUGUCACACAGAAUCAGCUGAGAGAAGUGGUCUACAAAAAACCAGAAAGGAAACAGAAUAUGUGGCUACGAAAAGCAAAAGAAAGGUUUACAAAGCAAAUGUGACACAUUUUUUUAUAAUAUUUAGGAAUGUCAGUAAAUUACAUUAAAAAAUGUAUGUAAAGAUUUUUUGCAAUAAAAAUGUUUAUAUUUA